rnacentral:rRNA from 1 species
UCAAAAAGAAAUACCACCCUCAAUACACACGAUCUCGUUGGAUCUCGGAAGCUAAGCAGGGUCGGGCCUGGUUAGUACUUGGAUGGGAGACCACGCUAUCUUUAAC